rnacentral:rRNA from 1 species
CCUACGGGUGGCAGCAGUGAGGAAUAUUGGUCAAUGGACGAGCGUCUGAACCAGCCAAGUAGCGUGAAGGAUGACUGCCCUAUGGGUUGUAAACUUCUUUUAUAUGGGAAUAAAAUGUUCCACGUGUGGGAUUUUGUAUGUACCAUAUGAAUAAGGAUCGGCUAACUCCGUGCCAGCAGCCGCGGUAAUACGGAGGAUCCGAGCGUUAUCCGGUUUUAUUGGGUUUAAAGGGAGCGUAGGUGGAUUGUUAAGUCAGUUGUGAAAGUUUGCGGCUCAAACGUAAAAUUGCAGUUGAAACUGGCAGUCUUGAGUACAGUAGAGGUGGGCGGAAUGCGUGGUGUAGCGGUGAAAUGCUUAGAUAUCACGAAGAACUCCGAUUGCGAAGGCAGUUCACUGGACUGCAACUGACACUGAGGCUCGAAAGUGUGGGUAUCAAACAGGAUUAGAUACCCGUGUAGUC